rnacentral:snRNA from 1 species
GUAUUGCUUCGGCAAUACAUAUACUAAAAUUGGAACGAUACAGAGAAGAAUAGUAUGGCCCCUGCGUGAGAUUAUGACAUUGCAAAUUUGCGAAGCGUCCCAUAUUUUU